rnacentral:rRNA from 1 species
CAGUCGCGCGGGAACACGUAGGGUGCAAGCGUUAAUCGGAAUUACUGGGCGUAAAGCGUGCGCAGGCGGUUAUAUAAGACAGAUGUGAAAUCCCCGGGCUCAACCUGGGAACUGCAUUUGUGACUGUAUAGCUAGAGUACGGCAGAGGGGGAUGGAAUUCCGCGUGUAGCAGUGAAAUGCGUAGAUAUGCGGAGGAACACCGAUGGCGAAGGCAAUCCCCUGGGCCUGUACUGACGCUCAUGCACGAAAGCGUGGGGAGCAAACAGGAUUAGAUACCCCAGUAGUCCCUGUCUCUUAUACA